GGUGGGGAUUAGUGGCGAACGGGUGAGUAACACGUGGGCAAUCUGCCCUGCACUCUGGGACAAGCCCUGGAAACGGGGUCUAAUACCGGAUACUGACCCUCGCAGGCAUCUGCGAGGUUCGAAAGCUCCGGCGGUGCAGGAUGAGCCCGCGGCCUAUCAGCUUGUUGGUGAGGUAAUGGCUCACCAAGGCGACGACGGGUAGCCGGCCUGAGAGGGCGACCGGCCACACUGGGACUGAGACACGGCCCAGACUCCUACGGGAGGCAGCAGUGGGGAAUAUUGCACAAUGGGCGAAAGCCUGAUGCAGCGACGCCGCGUGAGGGAUGACGGCCUUCGGGUUGUAAACCUCUUUCAGCAGGGAAGAAGCGAAAGUGACGGUACCUGCAGAAGAAGCGCCGGCUAACUACGUGCCAGCAGCCGCGGUAAUACGUAGGGCGCGAGCGUUGUCCGGAAUUAUUGGGCGUAAAGAGCUCGUAGGCGGCUUGUCACGUCGGUUGUGAAAGCCCGGGGCUUAACCCCGGGUCUGCAGUCGAUACGGGCAGGCUAGAGUUCGGUAGGGGAGAUCGGAAUUCCUGGUGUAGCGGUGAAAUGCGCAGAUAUCACGAGGAACAC
rnacentral:rRNA from 1 species